CCAGACUCCUACGGGAGGCAGCAGUGAGGAAUAUUGGUCAAUGGCCGGGAGGCUGAACCAGCCAAGUCGCGUGAGGGAAGACGGCCCUACGGGUUGUAAACCUCUUUUGUCAGGGAGCAAGGUGCAGGUCGGGACCUGCUGUGAGAGUACCUGAAGAAAAAGCAUCGGCUAACUCCGUGCCAGCAGCCGCGGUAAUACGGAGGAUGCGAGCGUUAUCCGGAUUUAUUGGGUUUAAAGGGUGCGCAGGCGGAGGCACAAGGCAGGGGUAAAAGCGCGGGGCUCACCCCCGCUCCGCCGUUGAAACUGUGUCCCUUGAGUGCGCGAAGGGUAGGCGGAAUGCGUGGUGUAGCGGUGAAAUGCAUAGAUAUCGCGCAGAACCCCGAUUGCGAAGGCAGCGUACCGGCUCCACACUGACGCUGAGGCACGAAAGCGUGGGUAUCGAACAGGAUUAGAUACCCCAGUAGCU
rnacentral:rRNA from 1 species